rnacentral:misc_RNA from 1 species
GCCAAUUCUGCCCCUUCUUGCCCUCUUCUCCAUCCCUGGGGUCCUCUUAUUCUUUGUUUUGGCCUGGUAAGGAUGUUGAUUGAAAGUUGCACCUAUAAAUUUGGUCUGACCUGUGAAAUUUGAUAAGUGCAUGCUUCAUUCGUCAUAAUUGGACGUCUAGCAUUCUUAAAAGUUAUUCAAUUAUAUGCAGCUACAACUUCCCACCAAAAUUACCCCCCCUACUCCACAACCAUGUCAUGGUGAAACUUUGUUGCUCUGUUCAUAUAUGUGGAGCAUUUUCUUGCUGUUAGCAAAAGGGACAUCCCCAAACAACUAUCCGUUUGGAAUUGCAUCUUCAAUAUGGUAUCAAAUUAUUGACAUGCACUAGGCCAAUGUACCAUCAAUCUUGAUCUUGGUGUUUUUCUUUUUCGCAGCUAGUGACUACACAAAAAGAA